UAUAUAUAUAUAUAUAUAUAUAUAUAUUUCAAUGAUAAAUUAUAACAUUUAAGCUUAUAACUAAGAUUCACUGAGCAAGCGAUAAGAGGAUGUAAAGGGCGAGGAACUCUUGUUCAAUUUCUACUCUUUUGGCUAAAGGAAAUUUUAAAAUGUUCUUAUCGUAUAAAAUGACUGACGUUCAGUCGAAAGCGAAGAUAAUUACGUCCUUCGCGGAUCCAUGUGCUAAUCAAGAGGUGCUUGUUAAAUAGAGACUUUAUUGG